UCGUGUAGCCACACCACCAGCACCAAAACAGCACAGACCUCCCCCUCCCCUGCCCCAGCACCUCCUCGGAACCCCUCCUGCCUACAGAGAUCUAGUUUGUGAUUUAUUUUUUAGUAAAAGAAGAAGAAAAGAAAAAAAACGCCAACUGACCUAACUCUGGCCCUGUCUCUCCUUGAGAUGACGCUAAUUGUGAGGAGCCGUCUGUAGAAACUGCUGACCUACACGCUCACACAUCCUCACGUCCUGCCAGCCCAGCUGGCCUCCUGCACUCAUGCUGGCCCCAUGUAGCACUUUGUUGCCCUGUUCCUGAGAGGCUUGAUGACCUGCUGCUUUCGAGGCACUGUGUCUUCCGUUUGCUACUUGACCCCCUUCCCCUGCCUUGCAUUUACCUGGCCAUAGGUUUAUACCUAACCCAAAACUUCAGCAGCUUCAGAGAGGGACAGACUCACCCAUGCCAAGGCUCAGCCUUGGCUCACUAACGGGGCUGGAGUUCCCCCUGCCACCGCUGCUGCUGCCUGCUGAGCUGGAGCUGAGAGUUGUGCCACUUGCCACGCUUCUCUUCAUCGCUCGUCAAUGUUAUCUCCUUCCUGCAGCACAUGGUUCGGGGCGAGGGAGCGCACCGAGAGCAUGAGAGGAGGAGAGACUGCCCUGAGCUGCAGCACAGCACAAGGAAGGCCUCACUCUGAACACCAAAACUGUUUCUGUUGUUACACUGGAGCAUUGUACCAAGAGACCUCUGCUGUGACCUAGCACACCUCAUCACAUGUUGGUCUAGAAGGAUAACAAGCACUUUAAAGCAUGUCUACACCUCAUCUGAUCUAUUGUAUUGUCUGUUCCCACAGCCCUCCCACAUGCAAGUAAACCCACAGACUCGGUACACCUGUAGUGCUGUGAAGACACCCUUGCACACAGCCCAGUCAUUGACAGGGUGCAGGCUAGCACGAGUAUGUUAGUGACAGCGUAAUGAAGGGCAAAAGGUGCACAGCAGCUCGCCAUGAGGGAUCAGCCC